rnacentral:rRNA from 1 species
GACGAACGCUGGCGGCGUGCCUAAUACAUGCAAGUAGGACGCAGUUGCGAACGGGUGCGUAACGCGUAGGUAUCUGCCUAUUAGAGGGGGAUAACUAUUGGAUACGAUAGCUAAUACCGCAUACUAGUAGAUGGACCUGCGUUGUAUUAGCUAGUAGGUUGGGUAAUGGCCUACCUAGGCAAGGAUACAUAGCCGACCUGCGAGGGGGAUCGGCGACACUGGGACUGAGACACGGCCCAGACUCCUACAGGAGGCAGCAGUCGGGAAUCUUCGGCAAUGGGGGGAACCCUGACCGAGCCACGCCGCGUGAGUGAAGAAGGUUUUCGGAUCGUAAAGCUCUGUUGUUAAGGAAACGGUACUUAACCAGAAAGGGACGGCUAACUACGUGCCAGCAGCCGCGGUAAUUC